rnacentral:rRNA from 1 species
CAGCCGCCGCGGGAAUACGUAGGGGGCGAGCGUUGUCCGAAGUUACUGGGCGUAAAGAGCGCGUAGGCUGGUCUUUAAGUGAGUGGUGAAAGGUUCGGGCUCAACCCGGACACUGCCUUUCAUACUGGGGACCUUGAGUGUGGGAGAGGCGAGUGGAAUGGUCGGUGUAGCGGUGAAAUGCGUAGAUAUCGAUCGGAACACCCAUGGCGAAGGCAGCUCGCUGGCCUAACACUGACGCUGAGGCGCGAAAGCGUGGGGAGCGAACAGGAUUAGAGACCCCCGUAGUCCCUGUCUCUUAUAC